CAUAAAGUGCCAUUUGAUAUCUUAAAUUCCUGAUAUGAGGUGCCAUUGCACAAGCACAAACCUUCUGCUUUCAGCAGUUUGCUUUAAUGAUAGGAUUAGUUUAAUCAAGUAAAUCUGGGGUGACUUGCUUUAUUCAUAGGUUUUUCUUUUGUGAUGCUGUGUCAUCCUUAUCCAUGUGAAUGUUUCUGGAUCUGGAUUGUAAAUUAAUCUCUUGCUGACUUUUAAAUUGGAAUACGAGCAGCUCAUUCAUCUCACUGAGAAUGCAGAAAUGUAUGAGAUACGUGUCUCUGUGCCCAUAGUGGCAGCUCUCUAGUGACAAAUGCUGAACAGUAGCGGAGUCAGGAGCCAUGUGCAUGAACCUAGCGUAUGUGCCCAAUCUUUGCACAUAGGGGAUGGAAUCACCAAGACUUCCACAAUCCUUAUGUCCCCAUUCCACACUGGGGUUCAGGAGAAGACAUUUCUCAUGCUGAGCCACAGGAAGUUGAUGCUGAAUUUCAGUAACAGCAGAUGUUACAAGGAUGCUAUCAAAAUUCUGAGGCAAAUGGGCUCUUCGUGACCAGCUUCAAGCAGAGCCCCAGCAUCUUCUCCAUGUGUUUCCUUCUCAUGUCUCAAGGCAGCAGCUCACCUUCAGCUAAAUUUACCCUUUCUCCUCAUUCUGUUUAAUCUCGUGAGGGGAGUAGCUGUAUAUCUGCCCUGCAACUCGCUUUUGCAGAGCAGAAAUAUUUGACCUUUGCAAUGCAUGAGAUCGCAGAGACAGCACAUGCUUUAACAUAUGCCUCUAGUCUGAUCUGCAAGGGCUUGAAUUCACCACUGCCUUUUGUGUGCAUCGGCAAGUUCAGUCCUGACUACAGUGAAUUCUGCAGGAUCCUCAAAGGUUGUUAAAACCUAGGACUGGCUCUGUGCUGUGUUCCUGGCUCCUAGAGUGAUAUUGUGAUAGCUUUUCUUCUUUCUUUAUAUAUGGGAUACAUCCUCAGCUCCUGCAGGAGGGAGGUAUAAGACUCUUCUUUUGCUGUUGUUCGUAGCUUAUAUUUGCACACAAUGUCCUUUGGACAGGCCAGUGUUAACUUGCUGUUAGAAGCCUCUGUUGUAUGAAAAUCUCGUGACUUAUGCACUGCUGUGAACAUGUGGGCACCAAUGCAGAUAAGCAUGGUGUGACUACUCAGAAAGCAGGGCAUUACAGCUGACACAGCCUGG